AGCGGCGGAUGGGUGAGUAACACGUGGGGAACCUGCCCCUAAGUCUGGGAUACCAUUUGGAAACAGGUGCUAAUACCGGAUAAUAAAGCAGAUCGCAUGAUCAGCUUUUGAAAGGCGGCGUAAGCUGUCGCUAAGGGAUGGCCCCGCGGUGCAUUAGCUAGUUGGUAAGGUAACGGCUUACCAAGGCGACGAUGCAUAGCCGAGUUGAGAGACUGAUCGGCCACGUUGGGACUGAGACACGGCCCAAACUCCUACGGGAGGCAGCAGUAGGGAAUCUUCCACAAUGGACGCAAGUCUGAUGGAGCAACGCCGCGUGAGUGAAGAAGGUUUUCGGAUCGUAAAGCUCUGUUGUUGGUGAAGAAGGAUAGAGGUAGUAACUGGCCUUUAUUUGACGGUAAUCAACCAGAAAGUCACGGCUAACUACGUGCCAGCAGCCGCGGUAAUACGUAGGUGGCAAGCGUUGUCCGGAUUUAUUGGGCGUAAAGCGAGCGCAGGCGGAAAAAUAAGACUAAUGUGAGAGCCCUCGGCUUAACCGAGGAACUGCAUCGGAAACUGUUUUUCUUGAGUGCAGAAGAGGAGAGUGGAACUCCAUGUGUAGCGGUGGAAUGCGUAGAUAUAUGGAAGAACACCAGUGGCGAAGGCGGCUCUCUGGUCUGCAACUGACGCUGAGGCUCGAAAGCAUGGGUAGCGAACAGGAUUAGAUACCCUGGUAGUCCAUGCCGUAAACGAUGAGUGCUAAGUGU
rnacentral:rRNA from 1 species